rnacentral:piRNA from 1 species
UCCCACUGUGUGUUGGAAUCUUUCCACUA